AGCCCCUCACGCCCAUGCUGGCACCUCAUCACGCCCCCCCAGGGGCCCCACCCCAUUAUCUGAGAACAUUUAUUACUGUUUUAAUUAAACGUCCGUUUACCAUAAUCUACAUCUCCUAUAAUGCGUGUUAAUUUUCACGACUCCAUCGGUGUCGGAAAUCACGAAAUUAUGUCAGGCAUCAAAAUUCCUCUUCUCUUUAAUACUGUUCUGUGUGUUCUGGUAGGAAAGAUUCAGAGGGAGGUCUGUCUCUGGUCACACUGCCUGAUCAAUAACUUUUAUGCACUGCCAUCGCCCACACGGUCCGUUGUAACCAGCGAUGAGACACACCCACCCAUCUCUGUGCUGUGGCAUCACACCGUCAUCACACCAGUUUCCAGGUGGUGGCGUCCUGUUUUUAGAAGAACUCAACAUUACUCCUCCUUCUCUACUCUGUCUAUACCAGUAGCCUCGUUUGGGGCGUUCUCGACUCCCCCGCUGCAGUGUUUUCUUCUCUGCCACUGUGGUACAUAACACCAGUCGUCAAAGCUAAAAUGAACAGGACGAUAAUAAUUUAAUCAGAUGCAGCAACACUCCCAUCCUCCAGCUCUGUGAAUAAUAGACGCAGGUCUCUAAUAGGAUCUCUGCUGACUUCUUCAUAUCCUCUGAGUAUAUCUUCAUCCCUGUAGCCUUCAAAAGUGAAAUCAAAUGAUCAGAUGCUUCAUUUGGCAGCCUCCAGCAGCUACCUGAUAAAUGCUCCAACAACACGCUCUGCAUCUCGCCCAUACUUUACAUCCACUAUUAGAGGCUGUAGCUGAGUAUUUAGUAUUCACUGUGAGUUUUUGCCUUGUUUAGUAUUUUUCCAUAAAAGAAAUCUGCCCUCGGGGUAAUUAAUAGUUAAUUCAGCCAGUGAGCAGGAAAAUGGCACGUUGUUAUCUACAUUCUUUUUGUUUGCUGAGUGUUUACCCCCGGGAUCUUUCUUCUUUUGUCAGCUCGCACAAAGCGAUUUUGUUUUCAGCCAAAAUCCGCGGCUGCUGCUUCUCCACCUUGGUCUGCAGUAAUCUGCAUCAGGACCCAUUGUGAGCCCAGUGCUGGGGAAGCCAUUCAUCAGUCUGUGUAUAGUCACCGUCUGAGGUUUUCAGGUCUGUUUCACUUCCCUCCUUUCAGCUGGCCGUGACCACAGCAACACUUACUUUAAUGUCAUUUAGGCCACUUCCACUCCCCGCUCACAGACACUGGUGUCUUCUCCUCUUUGUAAUGAGCACUCAAACAAAUGUCAGACACCCGAUUCCACCGGUGUCAACAUUGAUGUCGUCAUGGAAACAGUGAUUGUGAUCCAAGCGUCCAUAUUUAUUUAUUUAUUUAUUUUGGUUUAGCUAUUAGCCUUAGAGAUCCAUUCUGCUUUACCUUUAAAUGCCACGGCAAUAAAACUGACACCCUAUAAGAAAUGUCAGCGGUCGUGUCUGGAUGAGAGGAUGGAGUCUGACGGCACAGCCAAAAAUAUAUUUUUUAUUUCCAUGUCAGAGGGAUUUAACCAUCUCCUCCUUCUUCAUUGAAGAUGAAAAGACAGUGAGGGGCAGAAAAAAACCCCUGAAAUGAUUAAAAUGAUUUCUAUGUGAAGUGAAGUUAAUAAUUUUUCAUUUGUUUUAGAAAAUAACUCCAUAUUCACACGAACAUUUCAUAAAAUCUCUGUUUGUUCCUAAAUCUAGAGAGCGCCUCCCUUUGCUCACUGUGUACUCAUAUUUAAUGUAUGCAACAGUGCUCUCUAGUGGCCAUAUUUGGAAUAACCAUAUUUUUUUUGUUUUUUGUUCAGCGUAAAAUGCCUUAUUUUGAAUGAAUUUGCCAAACUAGAGCCAAGGCUUGUCUAAAGUUCUAAUCCAAGAUUAUUAGACGUCACUGGUAUAAGAUCUAGAAAAUACAUAUUUUGUCGUCUUAGCUUUUAUAAAUAAACACCUUUCAUGUGUUUUAUUAAUUCAUGACAUUCACCUAUGUCGCCUUUGUUUUCUAUUUUCACUUUCUCCUGUUUGUGGUCAGGUUGUUUCAGACAGUAGGAGUUACUGAACCUUCAAAACACAAACACGUAGAAGAAGAAUAACAGACUUCUUUGAAAUUGUGGGAGGAAGAAAUAUUGAUUCACACCAGCAGAGAACAGAAAAACUGUCAGCAGAAAUGUUUAUAUAAAAAACAAAACAACAUAAAAAACAUGCGAUUUUAUGCAGUUAUAUUAUUUUUUAAAUUUUGAAGCAAAAUAAUAAGAAAAGUGUUUUUUUUAUUAUUAUUAUUAUAGGAUUUUAUGCCUACAAUGACAAUUACAGUUAACAUUCUUCACUGGUCUUCAGUUUCCAGGUUAAAAAUGUUUAAAAGCAGCGUCUACCAAGCAAGCAGUACUUGGUGGUACUCAGUACUCUGAUAAUCCUCUAGGGGAAAAUGUACUCCCUGCAUUUUAACCCCAACCCUCCAGAGUUUAACAAUGAGAACAGCAGCAGCAGUGGAGAGAGCAGACCUCAAACUGACAACCAUCCACUGAGCCACAGGUGACCUCUGCUUUUUGCCUUUUAGACCUCAUAUUUUUCGAACCUCUGUGAUAAUAGGAAGUCAUAAAAACGAAGGCUGUACAAAGUGAACAACAUUUUUCCGUACUUUUAAUAUCAGUUUGAAUUGAACCCAUCAGUCAUGCUGCGUGUUCCCCGGCCUGUAGUUACCCUGUGUAAAUGUAUCUGCACUGCUGUGGUAUCACAGAAAGUCUGGCAGCGAUAAAAUAAAUGUGUGAAAUGUAACACUUGAAUUGACAAUAUGUGUGUAAGUCUGUGUGUGUGUGUGUGCAUGUGUUCACGCAGCAGGCAGUUUAUAGCCAAACUGCCGCUGAGAUUUCUGGAAAAUAAAUGUGCAGCCAGGCAUCAGGAAAAGCUCUGAGACGUGCUCUCCAGCACCUCCUCUCCUAAUCCUCCUUCUCCCGGCUCCGCUGUUUCCUUCCAUUGACGACUAAAAAGGAAGUACGGAAUAUAGAGUAGAAAUCUUGGAAAUCUGCGGUUCAGUUGUUAAAAUCUGCUCUGAUGACUGUGGGCAGCCAAUGUGCCAGACACAUGGAAGCAGCAGCAGAUGUAGAUGAGACCAGUGACUGACACUGCUGAUGAUGAUGUCAUGAAGGCAGACGGACCGUGACAUUUGGAACAACAACUAUUUACAGCUAUUUAUUUGAAUUUAUGUUUCAGUCAGUUCAUAUUCACUCAGAAAAUGCCGCUCUGUAGCUUUUAAAAAAAAAAAUACACAACUACACGGCAUGAAUGGUUUCUGUUUAAAGUGAAACAUGGCUCAAAUUAAACAUGACAGCAAACUGUAAUUUGAAAAAAAAA